rnacentral:rRNA from 1 species
GAUGAACGCUGGCGGCGUGCUUAACACAUGCAAGUCGAACGGGAAACCUUUUAUUGAAGCUUCGGCAGGUUUAGCUGGUUUCUAGUGGCGGACGGGUGAGUAACGCGUGGGUAACCUGCCUUAUACAGGGGGAUAACAGUCAGAAAUGGCUGCUAAUACCGCAUAAGCGCACAGAGCUGCAUGGCUCAGUGUGAAAGACUCCGGUGGUAUAAGAUGGACCCGCGUUGGAUUAGCUGGUUGGUGGGGUAACGGCCCACCAAGGCGACGAUCCAUAGCCGGCCUGAGAGGGUGAACGGCCACAUUGGGACUGAGACACGGCCCAGACUCCUACGGGAGGCAGGAGUGGGGAAUAUUGCACAAUGGGGGAAACCCUGAUGCAGCGACGCCGCGUGAAGGAAGAAGUAUCUCGGUAUGUAAACUUCUAUCAGCAGGGAAGAUAAUGACGGUACCUGACUAAGAAGCCCCGGCUAACUACGUG